rnacentral:rRNA from 1 species
CAGUCGCCGCGGUAAUACGGAGGGUGCAAGCGUUAUCCGGAUUUAUUGGGUUUAAAGGGUCCGUAGGCGGAUCUGUAAGUCAGUGGUGAAAUCUCACAGCUUAACUGUGAAACUGCCAUUGAUACUGCAGGUCUUGAGUAAAUUUGAAGUGGCUGGAAUAAGUAGUGUAGCGGUGAAAUGCAUAGAUAUUACUUAGAACACCAAUUGCGAAGGCAGGUCACUAAGAUUUAACUGACGCUGAUGGACGAAAGCGUGGGGAGCGAACAGGAUUAGAUACCCCGUAGUCCCUGUCUCUUAUACC